CGAGCCUGAUCAGCCAUGCCGCGUGUGUGAAGAAGGCCUUUUGGUUGUAAAGCACUUUAAGCGAGGAGGAGGCUACUUAGAUUAAUACUCUUGGAUAGUGGACGUUACUCGCAGAAUAAGCACCGGCUAACUCUGUGCCAGCAGCCGCGGUAAUACAGAGGGUGCGAGCGUUAAUCGGAUUUACUGGGCGUAAAGCGUGCGUAGGCGGCUUUUUAAGUCGGAUGUGAAAUCCCUGAGCUUAACUUAGGAAUUGCAUUCGAUACUGGGAAGCUAGAGUAUGGGAGAGGAUGGUAGAAUUCCAGGUGUAGCGGUGAAAUGCGUAGAGAUCUGGAGGAAUACCGAUGGCGAAGGCAGCCAUCUGGCCUAAUACUGACGCUGAGGUACGAAAGCAUGGGGAGCAAACAGGAUUAGAUACCCUGGUAGUCCAUGCCGUAAACGAUGUCUACUAGCCGUUGGGGCCUUUGAGGCUUUAGUGGCGCAGCUAACGCGAUAAGUAGACCGCCUGGGGAGUACGGUCGCAAGACUAAAACUCAAAUGAAUUGACGGGGGCCCGCACAAGCGGUGGAGCAUGUGGUUUAAUUCGAUGCAACGCGAAGAACCUUACCUGGUCUUGACAUAGUAAGAACUUUCCAGAGAUGGAUUGGUGCCUUCGGGAACUUACAUACAGGUGCUGCAUGGCUGUCGUCAGCUCGUGUCGUGAGAUGUUGGGUUAAGUCCCGCAACGAGCGCAACCCUUUUCCUUAUUUGCCAGCGGGUUAAGCCGGGAACUUUAAGGAUACUGCCAGUGACAAACUGGAGGAAGGCGGGGACGACGUCAAGUCAUCAUGGCCCUUACGACCAGGGCUACACACGUGCUACAAUGGUCGGUACAAAGGGUUGCUACCUAGCGAUAGGAUGCUAAUCUCAAAAAGCCGAUCGUAGUCCGGAUUGGAGUCUGCAACUCGACUCCAUGAAGUCGGAAUCGCUAGUAAUCGCGGAUCAGAAUGCCGCGGUGAAUACGUUCCCGGGCCUUGUACACACCGCCCGUCACACCAUGGGAAUUUGUUGCACCAGAAGUAGGUAGUCUAACCGCAAGGAGGACGCUUACCACGGUGUGGCGAUGACUGGUGA
rnacentral:rRNA from 1 species